CUCAUCAGUGUUUAUAAUUCUGAGCAUCAAUUAUGUUUGGACAAUAUUGUAGAUAUAAAUAGAUAACAAUAAGCUAAUUUUAUAUAUUUCUUUAAUCACAAUUUAAGUGCCUGUUUUGGGUCAAGAUUUUGCCUAGGUGCUUUACUUGUGUUUGUGUUUUUAUCUCCAUUACAGCUAUUCCUACAAAUAUUUCAUAGAUAAAGAAAGUGAAGCUCAGCUCAGUGAGGGCAAGUUACUUGCCAAAGAACAAGCAGGUAGAUUGUGCAGAGUUGGGAUCUGCCUGGCUCCAAAGCCUAGCCUUUUUAUUUUAUACUGCUUGUAUUAAUCAGCUAGGGCCACCAUAACAGAAUAAUACAGACUGGGUGGCUAAAACAACAGAAACUUAUUUUCUCACAGUUCUGGUGGCUGGAAGUCCAAGAUCAAGGUGCUGGAAGUAGUUUCUGGUGAGGGCUCUUUUCUUUCCUUGCAGAUGUCACUUUCUUGCUGUGUCCUCACGUAGCCUUUUGUCUGUGCUGGAGUACUCCUGAUACCUCUUUCUCUUCUUAUAGGGACACCAGCCCUAUUUGAUCAGGAGCCAACCCUUGUGGCCUCAUUUAACCUUCCUUGCCUCCUUAAAGAUGGCAGAAAUGAUGUUCAGGAGAGUAGCUUAAGAGACUUAAUAAAAGAGCUGCCAGACACCCACUACUGCCUCCUCAAGUACCUUUGCCAGUUCUUGACAAAAGUAGCCAAGCAUCAUGUGCAGAAUCGCAUGAAUGUUCACAAUCUCGCCACUGUAUUUGGGCCAAAUUGCUUUCACUAAAGAUGAUGUCUCAGGAUGGAAUUAACCAUUUCUCCAAGGGGCUUUGGUUUCUUCUAUAGAAGAAUUACAUUUAGAAGCCAAGAUCUGGGUGCUAAGUUAUUUGCAUCUAGGUCUUAAUGACUUCUAGAGCAAGGAAAUAAAGAAAGAAAUGAAUACUUGAAUGAUGGAAUGACUGAAUGGAAGAAAUAAUGGAUUUAUAUUGAUAUUUUGAGUUUAAUUUUAACAUUAUAAUAAUCUUUCUUAACAACUUUGAUUUCAUAUUUGUAACUCUAUACUCUGACAGUGAAAAUCUUGCUUCCUAAAAAAUAAGAAUAUUUAUUUGCUUUUCUCCACAACAUAAUAAAAUGUGUAUUUUAUGUAUAGAUAUAAAUAAAGUGUCACAACAUCAGGGAAACCACUGAGUAAUGUUUAAGACAUCCGGGCAGUCCGUACUGUCCUAUAUCUGGCUAAGAGAAUGCAUUCAAAGUAAAGGGUGGUUGUCUUCGCCAUUUGGCAUAUGGUUGAGUUCACUUGUUUCAAUCCAUUUCCAAUUUUAGAAUGCAGAGCUUCUUUUCCUUUUCAAUGUAAUUUUGUUUAAAUUUUUAUAACACUUACGUGGCUUAAAAGUGAAAAUUGGUCGGGCGCGGUGGCUCAUGCCUGUAAUCCCACCACUUUGGGAGGCUGAGGCAGGCGGAUCACUUGAGGUCAGGAGUUCAAGACCAGCCUGGCCAACAUGGUGAAACCACAUCUCUACUAAAAAUACAAAAAUUAGCCAGGUGUGGUGGCAGAUGCCUGUAAUCACAGCUACUUGAGAGGCUGAGGCAUGAGAGUCACUUGAACCCGGGAGGUGGAGGUUGCAGUAAGCUGAUAUUGUGCCACUGCACUCCAGCCUGGGAGAUAGGGUGAGACUCAAUCUCAAAAAAAAAAAAAAAGUGAAAAUUAUGUAAAGAGAAAGAGGUUUACUCAGAAGUUUCCCUUUUAUCAUUAUUCUUUCUAUACUGUUCAACCUCUUGGUGUCUUUGGAAAACAUUUUUAUUAGUUUCUGGCUUAUCCUUCAAUGUUUCUUUUGGUAAAAAUAAGUGUGUAUAUGUAGUUACAUUUUGUGUAUUAUGUGAUGUCUAUAUGUGUGCAUUCUUAUUUCUAUGUGUUCCUUACACUGUUCUUCACUUUGCUUUUUAUCUGCAAAUCUUAGAGAUCAUUCCAACAGUUUUUUUUUUUUUAUUCUUUUUUGUGCUUGUGUAUUACUUCAUUGCUUGGACAAAGUAAGUUUUAGUCAAUGGUACUUUUCUGAUGGUCGUUUGUUUCCCAUCUUUUACUGUUAGAUAUGAUCCCACAUCAAAUAAACUUGUGCAUAUGUAUCACCAAGAUUAAUUCCUAAAUAUGAGAUUUUUGGGUCAAAGAACAAAUGCCUCUAUAUCAUUAGAUAGCCCUAAUUCCCCUCCACAGAGGAUGAGUCAGUGUUACAUGUCUGUUAGCAGCAUGCAAGAGUGUCCAUUUUUCAGUCUUGCCAAGAGGAUUUCGCAAAAAUUUUGAAGUCUUGCCAGUCUGAUAGGUCAGAUGUGAUAUCCCAGUGUGGAUUUUUUAAGUUUUAAGAGUUUUAUUGAGACACCGUUUAUAUACCGUACAAUUUGCCAUGUGAAGUAUAUAAUUUGUUGGUUUUGAAUAGAUACAGAAUUCUGUAACCAUCACCACGGUCACUUAUAGAAUAUUUUCAUCACCCCCAAAAGAAAUGCUGUACUGUUAGCAGUCACUUCCCAUUUCUUCCCAAUCACUCCCCACAACAACCUGGCUCUAGGCAACCACUCAUCUACUUUCUGUGUCUAGAGAGUUGCCUAUUCUGGACAUUUCAUAUAAAUGUAAUCAUACAAUAUGUGUUCUUUUCUGACUGGACUCUUUCACUUAGCAAAAUGUUUUCAAGGCUCAUCCAUUUUGUAGCAUGUGUCAGUACAUCAUUCCUUUUAUGGCAGAAUAAUAUUUCAGUGUAGAGACACACCAGUUGAUGUGUUUAUCAACUCAUUAGUUGGUGGGUAUUUGUGUUACUUCUAGUUUCUGGCUAUUUCGAAUGAUGCUGCUGUGAACAUUUGUGUACAUGUCAUGUGUAGAAUUAUGUGUUCAUUUCUCUUGGGUAUAUAACUAGGAGUAGAAUUGUUGGGUCUCAUGGUAACUGUUUAAAAUUUUGAGGAACUACCAAAAUGUUUACUGAAGUGGCUGCACCAUUUUACAUUCCCUCAUGCAUUUGUUCCCUCAUAUAUUCCCAUCAGCAAUGGGAUGUGCUUAUCAUGCAAAAAGAGACUAAUAUAAAAUAAAUAUUCAAAGAAAAAUAAAACCUGAGGACCUAAUAGGAAAAUGGCAAAAGACAAAAAUAUAUGAAGAGAAAGACACAUGGCCAUGUACAUUCCCAUCAGCAAUGUAUGGGCGAACCAGUUUCUCUACAUCCUUGUUAAUAUCUUUUUUAUUCCAUUCCUGUGGGUAUGAAACACUAUUUCAUUUUGGUUUUGAUUUGCAUUUCCCUGAUUACUAAUGACAUUGAAUAUUUUCAUGUGCUUAUUGGCCAUUUGUAUAUUUUUGGAGAAAUGUUUAUUCAGAUCUUCUGCCUAUUUUUAAGUUGAUUUAUUUGUCUUUAUUGAUGAGUUAUAAGAGUUGUUUAUAUACUUUGCAUAUAAAUUCCUUAUCAGGUACAGGACUUGUAAAUAUUUUCUUCUAUUCUAUAAGUUGCCUUUUCAUUUUCUUGAUCAUGUCCUUUUAAGUGCAGAGGUUUUUAUUUUUGAUGGAGUGCAAUGUAUCUGUUUUUUCUUUUGUCACUUAUGCUUUUUGUGUUGUACCUGAGAAAGUUUUGGCUAACCAAGAUCAUGAAGAUUUAUUCAUCUUCUAAGAGUUUUUUAGUUAUGACUGUUAUGUUUAGGUCUAUGGAGCUAUUUUGGAGUUAACUUUUGUGAAUGGUAUAAAGGAGUCUAACUUCAUUCCUCUGCAUGUGGCUGUCCAGUUGUCCCAGCAUCAUUUGUUGAAGAUUGUUUUUCCCCAUUGAAUUAUCUCAGCACUCUUGUCAAAAAUAAGUUGACCACAAUUAUUGGGGCUUAUAUCUGAACUCAUAGUUAUAUUCCAUUGAUCUGUAUAUCUAUUCUUAUGUCAGUACCAUAGUAUUUUGAUAAUUCUAUAGCUUUUUAAUGAGUUUUAAAAUCAUGAAGUUUCAAUACUCCAAGUUUGUUCUUCUUUUCAGAAUUAUUUUGACUAGUCUAGGUUCAUUGUAUUUCUCUACAAAUUUUAGGAUCAGUUUGUAAAUUUCUACAAAAAAGUUAGUCAAUAUUUUGAUAGGAUGUUCUGUUGAAUCUGGAGACCAAUUUGGAGAGGACUCUAUUGCCAUUUUAGCAAAAUUAAAUCUCCCAAUAUGUGAGCAUGAAAUAUUUUUCCAUUUACUUAGGUCUUUAAUUUGUUUCAAUACUGUUUUAUGGUUUUCAGGGUACAAGUUUUGCAAUUAUUUUGUUAAAUCUAUUAUCAAGUAUCUUUUUCUUUUAGAUGCUAUUCUAGAUGUAAUUGUUUUCUCAGUUUUAUUUUCAGAUUGCUCAUUGCUAAUACCAAUAUAGUUUUAAUUUGCAUGUGUUUUCUUAUAAAUGAAACUAAACAUUUUUACUUGUGUUUAAGGGCCAUCUGUCUUUUUCCUCAUAUACCUGUUUGUAUCUUUUGCCAUUUUCCUAUUAGGUGCUCAGGUUUUAUUUUUCCUUGUUGAAUACUUAUUUUGUUUAUUUUUAGUCUCUUUUAUCCAUCAUAAUCACACUUAAAACUCUAAUUUUCCUCUCAGUAUUACUUUGUCUCCUCAUUUUCACUAUUAUUUUACCACUUGAUAUAAUAGGUUGGGUUAUCCAAGGUAUAACUCUGAGACUAAGUUUUCAAGCAGAAGUUUUAUUGGGUAGUACUUUUUGGAACCAUUCUUUCCUUAUACCUAUAAGGAACAGAGGAAGGUAGGAUUAGGCAGAAGUUGAACUGCCAUCAAGUUGUAACACAGGAUUCACUCAGUCCCAGGGGAGCUGAGAAGAUGGGAUGACCUUUCAGAUAAAUCCCUAGUUGAGUCAAAGGGUUUAGUCUCCUUACCCCAUUUCCAUCAAUCACUGGAGGUGAGCUGUGCCAGGGACAUUGUGUAGUCUCAGAAGAAGGACUUAGCCAUGAGCCAUAAGCAGGCAACACUUUGAGUGAGAUUGGGUGGAUAAUGAAUACUUCUGGCAUGAAGGAGACACCUGGGCAUCACCUCACAGAGUCACUACAUAAAUAUUUUCUUUUAAAAAUUCAUUAAACCUUGGACUGUGAGCUAUAUAUGUUGUAUAUGAUUUUUCUAAGGAAAUCCCCAAUAUCCCAGUUUCUAAGGCAAAAGUCCUCUGAAUACUUUAUCAUUCUUAGAAAUUAGCAGGAAUUGCUUCUGUAAGUUUUGAUAGUUAUUAAAAUGAGUAUUGGAUUUUCAGUGGUUUGGAUAGCAUGACGUAUAAAAGGAAGUUAGUCUAGUUCUUAUUCUGCCCAUUAGUAGUCCUUAUUCUACUAAUGCAGGUAGAUUUGGCCUGCAUUAUUUUCCUGUUAAAUUUUUGUAAAACAGGACCCACAGAGUUUGCUUUGAAAUUUAAGUGAGACUGUAAGAGAAAGUCCUCAUACAUUGUAAGCAAUUGGCAGAGUUAGAAUCCAUGUGCAUUUAAUUAAAUACAUUUAAAAUUGCAUUAAGGGAAAGAUCAGGUUUUAUGGGCUCUGCCCAUCGUACUAGUUAAUGAACUGGGCUCUUUAGAAACAUGAGAUGGAAGACAUGACAUUGCUCUUAACCUCAGUUGUCAUAGUUCUCACUUAGAACAAGCUUCUUACAGUAUUGAGUAUGCUUGUUAAUAUUUAAUGGAAUAGAAAAUGUUCUUACCCAGUAAAAUUUCUCAACACAAGCCAACUUCUUCAACUUAGUACUUGUAUCAGACACCUUCUGACCUCCUCAGAUUGCCUUGGCUCUACCCGCCUCUCAGACCAAUCUGCUUCCACCAGGCUUGGACCUUUCUCCUGCCUUGGGAAUGCUAGAUUCUUCUUCUUGGCUUCUGCCUUAUAGCUGGGUCAACAAGCCACCUGCUCAGAGUUUCUGGCUUCUGCCAUCACUUUUGAACCCUAGACUCGGAUCUUAAUUCCUGAUAGGGUAUCAGAGGCAUGGGAUAUGGCAACCUGGAAAUCUAGAACAGUUAAAUAAGAGUCAGGAAGAGACAUGGACUUUUUUUGUUCUUCCCAUGGAACACAUUUCUUCAUCCCAUGGCUUCUCCUUGCAGCUUAUCUGGGGAAUUCCAGACUGCCAAGCAAAGCAUCUGUCGAGCAAACUGUUAUGUGUCUUUGUAGUUCUUUGUGAAAGAGCUAUGCAUACUUUACAUUAUUUCAUAUCCCUGCUUGCCUCCUUUUCUCACCCACCCUGCCUGGUAUCCCUGCUGUCAAAAUAAUACACCAACAUCCUCAUCAUUGCCUUGUUUUCUUUGGGUUUCUUGAGGAUCUGCUCUAAGGCACUGUGUACCUAGUGAUGUAGCAGACAGUUCUAAUACAUUAGGAAAAUCUAUUUUCUUAAGAUUAGGUGAGAGAUUUUAUACUUUAAGAAUAUUUAAGGAUAACAUUGGGUAUGCAUGAGAUUCAUUAUAUUAGAAAUACCUAAAUAUUUUUUAUUUGCCGUUGUUUAGAGUGUAUUUAAAAAUCUGAUUAAGUGAUAUUGAUGCACGGACCAAAGCCUCGGCUUUUGGUUCUGGGUUUUUUGUUUGUCUGUUAGUAUUCUUGGCACUUUGCAUUAAAC
rnacentral:lncRNA from 10 species